CUGGCUGGCUGGCGGGACUUGCAGGCUCAAGGCCCUGAGAAGAGGGUGAAAAAGGUGCUGGGACAGUGGAGAAGUGGUCCCAGCAGAACUGAAGGCGAAAACAUGAACAGUGAUAUGGCUGGAGGGCUGAGUCAUGAAGAGGACGCUGCAGUACUUGGACUGAGGCAGGACUGUAGGCAGUGACAAUGAUGGAUGAGACACCACCAGGAGAGGGUGCACCGGCUAGCAGCACUAAUGCCUGUGACAGCCAGCUGGAGGCUCUGCAGUGGGCACCACCUGAGAUGCAGAAGACCUAGAUUCAAGUCCCUGCUCCAAAUCAGUCAGAGCAGAGGGGUGAAAAUAUUCUCCCACAUC